UUUCGCAAUGCCCGAAAGGGUGACGAAGCGACGCCGCGUGCGGGAAGAAGGCCUUCGGGUUGUAAACCGCUGUCGGGAGUUAAGAAAUGUAAGGAUGUUAAUAGCGUCUCUACUUGACUAAGGCUCCGGAGGAAGCCACGGCUAACUCUGUGCCAGCAGCCGCGGUAAUACAGAGGCGGCAAGCGUUGUUCGGAAUUAUUGGGCGUAAAGAGCACGUAGGCGGCUGUGUAAGUCGGUUGUGAAAGCCUUCCGCUCAACGGAAGAACGGCAUCCGAUACUGCAUGGCUUGAGUGUGGGAGGGGAGAGUGGAACUUCUGGUGGAGCGGUGAAAUGCGUAGAUAUCAGAAGGAACACCGGCGGCGAAGGCGACUCUCUGGUCCAUAACUGACGCUGAGUGUGCGAAAGCUAGGGGAGCAAACGGGAUUAGAUACCCCGGUAGUCCUAGCCGUAAACGAUGGGCACUAAGUAGAGGGGUUUU
rnacentral:rRNA from 1 species